ensembl:lncRNA
CUGUCCAUGGAAUUUUCUAGGCAAGAAUACUGGAGUGGGUUGCCAUUUUCAUCUCCAGAGGAUCUUCCCGACCCAGGGAUCAAACCCAGGUCUCCAGUACUGCAGGCAGACACUUUACCAUCUGAGCCACCAGGGAAGCCCUUUAACCCCCAAAGGAGGAAGCAACAUGCCCAUCAACUAUAGAGCGAGUCACCGUCCAGACAGGAUGUACCCUCCCUGCCUACAGGGCCAGCAUCUGUGGACUUAGGAUAUGCCCUGUCCAUCUCCACAGUACAUAGCAUCUUCUCUAACCAGGGAACACACUCAAUGAAGAGUGACGAGGGGCUCAUACGUUCUGGGGGCACUUAGCACAGAGCCUUACACUCAGUAAGUGCUUGAUAACUAGCUGUUGGACAGACUGGUUUCGCCCAGCCUAUCUCUCCGGAAACAGAACUUCCCUACAGCAUCGCGGAAAAGAGUCCUAACCGAAGUUUGCCGGUGCUCACGAGGGAAUGAAGGAAUUCAAUGAAUGGCCUUGCUCUUCUCUCUUCCUCCGACUCUGGCCAGCUGGGGGUGCCCUCUUCUGGUGGUCCUGGCUGUUCCGUCCCCGCGCCCGCUCAGGGUUCUUCUCAUCCCUGGGUGGAAAUCCCCUUCGCUCCACUAGGAGCCAAAGCGGGGAUCAGCGUUCUAACACUAACAGGGCCCCCGCGGGCCACCGUAGCCGGUAGCCGGCUUGCGCUCCGGGAUCCUGACGCCGGAGCCGCCAUGCUGUCUCCGGGCACAGCCGCGUUCCCACCCCUGGGCGCGCUUUCCCGGGUGCGCGCGCACCGCCCAGGAUUUUCCACACACUCCGGCUUUGUUCGUUGUGAUGCUGCCUGAGGCCCACCUCACACUGCAGGAUGUCUGGCCCUCGUUGUAAACAUAGUUGUGGAGAAGGCAAUGGCCACCCACUCUCGUAUUCUUGCCUCGGAAGUCCCGUGGACGGAGAAGCCUGGUAGGCCACAGUCAUGGGGUUGCAAAGAGCUGGACACGACUGAACAACAGUAGCAGCAAACACCGGCCUUGGACAGCACAGACUGGAGCCGCGGAGGCCCGCUUUUUAGAUAAGAUUGGUUUUUUAAGUUAAUAUUGCAGUCAGUACUGCGUGGUCCAUGGUUGGUUAAACCCAUAGAUGUGGAACUACAGAUAUGGAGACCCAACUGUCAAGUUUUAUGCGGAUUUUCAGCUGUGCAGGGGCCAGCCUCUCCAACCCCUGCCUUGUUCAAAGGUCAGCAGUACUAUCUUUUCCCCAUUAUGUCUUCUGUUUGUUGUUGCUGAUGAAUGAAAGUUAUCCUUAUGUUUGUUUUCUUCCCACUGUCUUGUUGAAUUUACGUUCUUUAGUUGACCUUCCUGUGUUUUCCAAAAAUACAACCAUUAUCACUUUCAACAAUUGUAGAUUUAUUUCCUUUCCCACAAUUAUUAUGCAUCUAAUUUAUUUUUUUAAUCUAAUUGUAUUCAGACCGUGUUCCCUCCUUUAAACUUCUUCCUUUUUGUGUAUUUGCUGUUAUUUUUUGCAUUGUGUUGUUUAGAAUUGCUUUCAGCCACAAGUAGCAGAAACCCUAACACGGCUUAAACAAGGAAGGCUUUAUUGUUCUCAUACGGAAGCAGUCUGGAGGUCGGUAGUCAGUCAGCAGUUCAGCCAUGUCAGUAAUCUAAUCUUCCUUCGGCCAUCUGUCAACCCAAGUUGACGCAUAAAAUUAACCAGCACAAUGGGUAUGAGGUUUUCGUCUGUUGUAAUGAAAAUGUUGUGGAACUUGAUCUUUGUCGUGGUUACACAGCACUGUGAGCUAAUGUCCUAAAUGCCUGAUUUGCACACUUUAAAAUGGUUACUUUUAAGUGACAUGAAUUUCACAUCAACUGGAAAAAUACCAGAAAAACGAUUUUCUUUUUAUACAAAACAAAAACAAUGGUAAAACUACCAUAGAUUUCAGGGUUAUACGUGCUCAUUUGGGGAUCAGCUUAAAUGUCUUCUCUGCAUAUAAAUAUGAAAAAGUGAUGAUGCCUCUGAUGGACACUGCUGAUGGGCUAGCUCACUGCUCAUUUCCAGCGUGAUGGUUAAUUUUACGUCAGUUAGGGUAGGCUGCUGUGGCCACUAUCUAACAUCAUACAGAGAAAUUAACUCAAAGUGAACCAAACUAUUUGAAUAUGAGACCUGAAACCAUAAAACUCUUAGAAGAACAUGUAAGUGGUAAGUUUUUUGAUAUCAGUCUUGGUGAUCAUUUUUUUUUUUGGAUUUGACAUCAAAAAACAAAGGCAAUAAAAGCNNNNNNNNNNNNNNNNNNNNNNNNNNNNNNNNNNNNNNNNNNNNNNNNNNNNNNNNNNNNNNNNNNNNNNNNNNNNNNNNNNNNNNNNNNNNNNNNNNNUUUUUUGAUAUCAGUCUUGGUGAUCAUUUUUUUUUUUUGGAUUUGACAUCAAAAAACAAAGGCAAUAAAAGCAAAAGCAAACAAGUGGGACUGUGUCAAAUUAAAAAGCUCCUGAGCAGCAAAAGACAUCACUGAACGGGAGAAAAUACUUGCCAGUCAUUUUCUAUAUGGGGUUAAUAUACAAGAUAUAUAAAGAAUGCCUACAAUUCAACAGGAAAAAAACCCCAAAAAACAAUUAAAAAAUAGACAUUUUUCCAAAAGGGACACACAUAGCCAACAGGUACAUNNNNNNNNNNNNNNNNNNNNNNNNNNNNNNNNNNNGUAAAUCACAGCCACAGUGAGAU